UAAUGGGGGCUGCUUACCAUGCAGUCGAACGGCAGCACGGGUGCUUGCACCUGGUGGCGAGUGGCGAACGGGUGAGUAAUACAUCGGAACAUGUCCUGUAGUGGGGGAUAGCCCGGCGAAAGCCGGAUUAAUACCGCAUACGAUCUACGGAUGAAAGCGGGGGACCUUCGGGCCUCGCGCUAUAGGGUUGGCCGAUGGCUGAUUAGCUAGUUGGUGGGGUAAAGGCCUACCAAGGCGACGAUCAGUAGCUGGUCUGAGAGGACGACCAGCCACACUGGGACUGAGACACGGCCCAGACUCCUACGGGAGGCAGCAGUGGGGAAUUUUGGACAAUGGGCGAAAGCCUGAUCCAGCAAUGCCGCGUGUGUGAAGAAGGCCUUCGGGUUGUAAAGCACUUUUGUCCGGAAAGAAAUCCUUGGCUCUAAUACAGUCGGGGGAUGACGGUACCGGAAGAAUAAGCACCGGCUAACUACGUGCCAGCAGCGGGCCGGUAAUA
rnacentral:rRNA from 1 species